GACGAACGCUGGCGGCGUGCUUAACACAUGCAAGUCGAACGAGAAUCUGCGGAAAGAGGAUUCGGUCCAAUAGAAGCAGAGGACAGUGGCGGACGGGUGAGUAACGCGUGAGGAACCCUGCCUUUCAGAGGGGGACAACAGUUGGAAACGACUGCUAAUACCGCAUGACACAUUGAGGUCGCAUGGCCUUAAUGUCAAAGAUUUAUCGCUGAAAGAUGGCCUCGCGUCUGAUUAGCUAGUUGGUGAGGUAAACGGGCCCCACCAAGGCGACGAUCAGUAGCCGGACUGAGAGGUUGAACGGCCACCAUUGGGACUGAGAUACGGCCCAGGACUCCUACCGGGAGGCAGCAGUGGGGAAUAUUGGGCAAUGGGCGCAAGCCUGACCCAGCAACGCCGCGUGAAGGAAGAAGGCUUUCGGGUUGUAAACUUCUUUUGUCAGGGACGAGUAGAAGACGGUACCUGACGAAUAAGCCACGGCUAACUACGUG
rnacentral:rRNA from 1 species